rnacentral:rRNA from 1 species
UACGUAGGGUGCAAGCGUUGUCCGGAAUUAUUGGGCGUAAAGAGCUCGUAGGCGGUUUGUCGCGUCUGCCGUGAAAGUCCGGGGGCUCAACUCCGGAUCUGCGGUGGGUACGGGCAGACUAGAGUGAUGUAGGGGAGACUGGAAUUCCUGGUGUAGCGGUGAAAUGCGCAGAUAUCAGGAGGAACACCGAUGGCGAAGGCAGGUCUCUGGGCAUUAACUGACGCUGAGGAGCGAAAGCAUGGGGAGCGAACAGG